GGAGAGGUGGCAGAGUGGUCGAAUGCGGCGGACUCGAAAUCCGUUGUAGGGCUUGUUUCUACCGAGGGUUCGAAUCCCUCCCUCUCCG
rnacentral:tRNA from 1 species